CUUUGAAGUCGUCCAUUUCGUUUUUGUUCUUCAUCGUCACAACUCGUGUUGGCGUUCAUGGGAUGAAAUUGAAUUUAAAUUUUGUGCUUAUAGACUGUGUCAGUCAAAUUUAAAACGGUUUUACAAUGUUCAAAGUGGCCAACUGUCCAUUCGAAAUGAGCGAAUCGCCGAAUUACGCAGAAAAUGGCUAAUACGAAACGUGAUAAUCUCCAACGAAAUGAUGAACGAAUGACAUUCGUGGGAUAACAACGUGAACUUCUGAUCCAUGUGGAGGCAAUCGUCCACAGUCGGGAUAGAAAUGGAUUCACCGAGGAAGAAAUAACUUUAAAGGUGUCAAUUUCAAUGGACAGGAAGAUUGGCGUGCCCUUGUGCAUCGGGUCGAAAAGAAGACUCAUUCUAUCAUGCGAAAUCGCAACAAUAGGAUUAACAGCAAUGAUGAUCGACCAGACUCUUCCCUUGAAGCUGUUCUGUAGCGUUGUACAAUUACAAAAACAAAAAUGAAUAAAGAAAACACUCAAAAGUAAC